UACGAAGGGGGCUAGCGUUGCUCGGAAUCACUGGGCGUAAAGCGCACGUAGGCGGACUCUUAAGUCGGUGGUGAAAUCCCGAGGCUCAACCUCGGAACUGCCUUUGAUACUGGGGAUCUCGAGUCCGGGAGAGGUGAGUGGAACUGCGAGUGUAGAGGUGAAAUUCGUAGAUAUUCGCAAGAACACCAGUGGCGAAGGCGGCUCACUGGCCCGGAACUGACGCUGAGGUGCGAAAGCGUGGGGAGCAAACAGG
rnacentral:rRNA from 1 species